GCCAGAGUGGUCUAGUGGUCUGAGUGUUGGAUUAUGACUCUGGAGACCAGGAUUCAAAUCCCAGUUCGGUCA